GUGCUCACUUCAGCAGUACAUAUACUAAAAAUGGAGUGAUACAGAGAAGAUUAACAUGGCCCCUGUGCAAAGAUGAUACAAAAACUCAUGAAGUGUUCCAUAUUUUU